UAUGGCCGUGCCUACCCCCAAGCCUCGGGGUUGUUUUGAGCCAGCAGGGAAGGUGUACUUAAUAUAGAGCAGGAGGGUAUGUGUGCAAUGUUCUUUGAAUGAUGAUUGCAAGGUGCACAGAGAAGAUUUGACUUUAUUUAGACAUUCGGUUUCUUCACAGUCUCCUCUCUGGAAGGGCUCUUGGCUUCCUCUCCAGACAGCAUGUGUGUGAUUCCCUGGGCUCAGAAAACAGGACACGCCGAGGACAUAGAAGCCUGGGUGAGCAGACCCCAAGGGAAGCCCCGGUGUUAGAGAGGAACCUCCCUCCGGAAAGACGCCGGGUUCCUCAGAGGGCCGUUUUCAUCACCAGGCGCAGAGCUUCCGCCACCAAGGAUGUUCCAGCAGAGACCACACAGCCGCGUGGCCUGGACUCGAAGCCAUCGAAGUUUUGAAUCUCUAAGUCCUUAUUUCUUGCCAGCCCAACUAUUAAUAAAUCAAAAGCUCCUUGGAGCGUUGGUUUUUAUUUUCUUCUCCCCUAGAACAGUG
rnacentral:lncRNA from 1 species